rnacentral:rRNA from 1 species
GAUGAACGCUGGCGGCGUGCUUAACACAUGCAAGUCGAACGGAAAGGCCCUGCUUGCAGGGUACUCGAGUGGCGAACGGGUGAGUAACACGUGGGUGAUCUGCCCUGCACUUCGGGAUAAGCCUGGGAAACUGGGUCUAAUACCGGAUAGGAGCCAUUUUUAGUGUGAUGGUUGGAAAGUUUUUUCGGUGUAGGAUGAGCUCGCGGCCUAUCAGCUUGUUGGUGGGGUAAUGGCCUACCAAGGCGGCGACGGGUAGCCGGCCUGAGAGGGUGGACGGCCACAUUGGGACUGAGAUACGGCCCAGACUCCUACGGGAGGCAGCAGUGGGGAAUAUUGCACAAUGGGCGCAAGCCUGAUGCAGCGACGCCGCGUGGGGGAUGACGGCCUUCGGGUUGUAAACUCCUUUCGCUAGGGACGAAGCUUUUUGUGACGGUACCUAGAUAAGAAGCACCGGCUAACUACGUG